AACGACUCUCGGCAACGGAUAUCUCGGCUCUCGCAUCGAUGAAGAACGUAGCGAAAUGCGAUACUUGGUGUGAAUUGCAGAAUCCCGUGAACCAUCGAGUCCUUUGAACGCAAGUUGCGCCCGAAGCCAUCAGGCCGAGGGCACGUCUGCCUGGGCGUCACGC
rnacentral:rRNA from 1 species